rnacentral:rRNA from 1 species
UACGUAGGGGGCGAGCGUUGUCCGGAGUUACUGGGCGUAAAGCGCACGCAGGCGGUCUGCUAAGUUUGGAGUGACAGUUGGUGGCUUAACUGCCAAAGUGCUUCGAAAACUGACAGACUUGAGGGCUUCAGAGGGACACGGAAUUCCGGGUGGAGUGGUGAAAUGCGUAGAGAUCCGGAGGAACACCAAUGGUGAAAACAGCUCGCUGGGGGUGUGCUGACGCUGAGACACGAAAGCCAGGGGAGCAAACGGG